rnacentral:rRNA from 1 species
AUGACUCUGAACCAUAAAGGCCUGCUGCCACAAGUUACUUGUGUGAUGAAGAUCCCAAUCGGUAUGCCAUUAAAGGACGCUACAGAUUCAAAUUUCUAUGUGCAAUUGUUCAGGCAUGUGAAGCAAAUGGGUGUGCUGAGCACAAAACUCUCCCACAAUCUUGGUCUGCGGUUAAGGCUAUUUGAGCCAUUACUGUCCUCUGAUCCAACUACCAUUACAGUGCAUUGUUUGAUCUCCAUGGUGCCAAGAGAUACGACUGUCCUGAGUCAGCCGAUAAUGCAAGUUAUGGGUGAUCUAAACCUGGGUGUUGAUGGCGACUGGUUAUCUGUUCUAUGGCGGCACAUUUAUUUCAGAACAAGCAAAUUGGGCCGUAUGAACUAG